GGGGGAUUGGCUCAGUGGCGACGGCGACGGCGACGGCGCCUGGCUGUAGACCGGGUAUAUCACGCGGAGGUUCGAGUCCUCCAUCCCCCA
rnacentral:tRNA from 1 species